AUGUGGGAGCUGGACAGGCAUGGCCAGGUCACCCCAGGUAGUAGGUGGCGGACAGGUGUGGCAUCACCGUGCUUGCUGUUCACCUCUGGCAGCUCUGUGCCUUCACCUGGCCGCAGCACACCCAGGCAGGCAGAACCAAAGCUAAGCUGCUCCGCAAGCAGGCAGCGCAGCCUCCUCCUGCGCCUGGCGUUCUUUUACUCUUUGCAAACUGCUUUUAUUCAAAGGGAGGGAGUGGUUAGCAUGGGUAUUUUAGUAAAUUGUGAAAUGCUUUGUUCUCGCUUGCCCCCUUUCCUGCUCUCCCCAAUCUCUGGCACAGGUGUGUUUCCCUGGACGCCAGUGCUUGUCACCAGAGAAAACAAGGCAGCAACACUUAUCACUUCCACUGCUCACUGGGGCAAAACACGAGGGCAGGCUUCGUGCCUCCCAGGGGUGGGGAGGGGCCUGGUACUUGUGUCACCACCAAGUGAGUCAUCGAGGUGGAACAGUAAAAUAUUUAAUCACGUGUGUCAGCAUUGUUCGAGAGGCAGCAUUUUUAAAGGUCCCCGUAUGCAGCAUGGGCACAUGGUGUUACCUCUGAGGUUCACCUGUCACCAUGUGAAACGCACACAGAGUGGUUGGCCUGCUUGGGGGCUCCGUGGGUUUAACCAUGUGAAUAGAACAGUUUGGGGAAGAAAACAAAGCAUCGAAGGUUUUCAGGAUGGCCCGGCUUUGGCUCAGCAGGUAAUUUCUGCCGUAGAGCCCCUGCCUGGCCUUGGUCACCAGCGUUUGUGUUCAGAGGCCACGGUGGCCUGGCUGCAGACUGUAGCUGAGCGUGCCACCGGCGCCUGGCCGGCUCUUGUUCCGGCAGGUGCCUUCCCUUCCCGCCCUGGCCCGACGCCCCAGGUUAGAUCUGGCCAUCCUCGUCCGUGUUGGACGCAGGAGGGUCUCAGCAGACGUGUGUUGGGUCACAGCUGGACCGAGCACACCAUGAGGGGAAAUUCUCACACUGAGAGUCUGAGAGCAGGGACCAUGCUUCUGUCAGCUUUGUCACUUUAG
rnacentral:lncRNA from 1 species